UUAACUAUUACAUAGUACUCAGACGACAUAAUAAAAGAGUUUUGGGGUCCUCUGGCAGGCACUUACCAGCUAAAGCCGGUAGCCGAAGCGGCCUACCAAAGCAACAAAGGUAUAGUAUUCAAGGGUGGGAGAUCUACCCGAUAGGGCAUGAACUCUGUAAUGAUCCUUCCGCAGGUUCACCUACGGAAA
rnacentral:misc_RNA from 1 species